rnacentral:rRNA from 1 species
UACGUAGGGGGCAAGCGUUGUCCGGAAUCAUUGGGCGUAAAGCGCGCGUAGGCGGCCGGUUAAGUCGGAUGUGAAAACCCGUGGCUCAACCACGGGCCUGCAUCCGAUACUGGCGGGCUCGAGGCAGGCAGGGGAGAUCGGAAUUCCUGGUGUAGCGGUGAAAUGCGCAGAUAUCAGGAGGAACACCGGUGGCGAAGGCGGAUCUCUGGGCCUGUCCUGACGCUCAGGCGCGAAAGCUAGGGGAGCAAACAGG